AAUUCUACAUAAUUUGAUAUAUCGGGGGAAAAAGUUUCCUCUUCUUGUCAGUACUGGCUGGCUCGCAAUGCGCCGCAGCCAUGAACUAUGGAUCAUUUUGAAUCGGCUACUCAAUCUUGCAAAAUGUUGAUUUCACUAUCCAACCUCUAAGUUUGUUUGAUUUGAGUCUGCCAACAGUAUUUUGACUUCAAAAUUUAAACUAAUUACUUAUUUUACUGGAUGUAUCGUUGAGAGAAUUGCAUGAAGUAUUCUAACUGAACUUGUAUAGAUAAAUGACAUAUUCAAAUUUUGAAGUCAAAGUAUUGUUGGCUUACUCAAAAUCAAACAAUAAAAUCAAAAUUUUGAAAGGUUGGGUAUUCAACUCAAAAUGGUCCGUUGUUUUAGAUUAGUUCUGUAUGGUUUUACCUAAAAUUUCAAAUUUUUGGAUGCGAGAAUUGUGAUAAAUCCACUAUCCCCUCCUACACUAAUCCAGAGGUAGAAUUCUAUUUAAAGAAACCAAAAGUAACAACAACGAUGCCAAACGAGGCCUAAUAUUUGUAUUGCUUGUCAUUUAAGUUGCAAACUUGAUUAUUUUUCUACAUUAGUACCUUAUAAAUAUAUUUACUAUUUUAAUAGGUUUUGCUGUUACAAAGGCAGGACAAGCAACUAACAUCCCUCAAACAAAUAGAAUUUGGUGCUUUUAAACUUUGUAAAUGAAGCACCCGAGUCGUUGCGCAUGCACAAUCUAUUUAGCAUUGAAAUUUUAAAUUUAUAGAUGUGCAGAUCUCUAUAAACAAAUACUUACUGGAGGAUAUUUUUUGUUUCUGAGGAAAGAAAUGAUUUGGGAAUAAAAUGUCAUGGGCUUAAUGCUAAACUUGAACAUAGUAGCUUUGAUUGAGGGAGUGUUUGGUUACCUAAAAAGUAUUUUCCGUUUUUUUGGUUCCCAGGAAAAGUAGUUUUUCUAGAAAACUUUUUUCUAAAUUUCAUGAAAGAGUGUCCUUUCUAUUCUUUGGAUUUUUAAUCCGGAAAACAAAAACUAUGGAAAGAGUGUUUUCCAUGGAAAUUUUUUAUCUCAAAAAAUAGUUUUCUACACUCUUCUGAGAAAUCAAACACUCCUUUAAUUCACGUAAAUGAUAGCGUAAAUCGUCUAUUUUGGUAGUAAGAGAAAGUUUGUAGUUCUCACAAAGAACGUGAAAUCGAGAAAGCAAUGCAUGUUUAUUUUUGGCCUAUAGUUAGUUAAUUCACGAAUUAUUUGUGAAUUAUUCGUAAGUUUUUGAAAAAUUGAAUUAAACAGCCAGUUUCAUAAUUUUUCAAAAAUUCAGAAAAAAUACGUAUAUUUAGAUAAAAGUAAUUGUUUACGAAUUAUAUAUUGUUUGUGAAUAGUUCGCCUCAAAAGAACGGCGCUCGCGGUCGCUGCAACGCAGACUCGCGGGUACCCCAACAAAAAAAAAAAAAAAAAAAAAAAAAAGGAAAAAAAAAGAGGGUUUGCCCUAACUUCGCAGCCCUGCGGCGCUGCCACCGACCCCAGUCCCCAUCCCUUUCCCUGCCCCUCUUCCCGUCCGGCCGCUCGCCGAACGCCAUCGGAAGCCCUCCUCUUCAGAAAUCGAAGAUCGAAGAUCGGGUUCUUCACUCUUCAGAAAUCGAAACCCUCCUCGUCGCCUCUUCCUCUUCCGCUUCCGCUUCCGCUUCCUCUCCCGCUUCCGCUAUCCAACGAUAGAUCAGUAACCGNCGGGUGGUUCUUUACAAACCAGGUACGAUUUGAGUUUUCAUUCUUCAAAGCAAAAGUUGGAAGCUUUUAGUCCAUCUGAUGGAUAAGUUUUUAUACACAAAUGGCGGCUCGAGUGCUUAAAUUGAAUGUGUCCAUUCUCUGUUAUGCACAAAGAAGACCCAAACAUAGAGCUAAAUAAUCUUAAUUAACUUAGGGACCAGGAACUCUUGUAUUAUACCUAAUCAAUUUCAUGAUCUUGUCGACACUUGCAAAAGGAGUUCGCUGAUUAUAAUUACUAAAACUUUCUGUGCUUGUAUGCUCUAUGUUUAUUCAAGCUUUUAUGUAUGCUCAUAUGUGGAAUUGUGAACUUUAUGUAUCUUUUAUUUGUUUACUGUUUAGACUUUAGAAUUUAGAUAUGCUAGUAUGCACUAUGCAAAGUGUCAGUUUCAUCUUGUAUUUAGUUUCUAACUAUGCUUGUAUGUGAACCUUUUAUAUUUUACAUUUAAAUAUGGACUAUCUUGAUCUCUUAUUUGCUUAAUUAUUUAUUUAUUUUGAGGCAUAAUAUAAUUUACUAUUUUUUUUACUUAAUUAGUUUAAUUUUGUAGCUCUUUAUUCUUAUAUUCUUAAAAAAUAUGAGUAUUUAUGCUAAUAGCAUAAAUCUUGAGAGAAAAAAACUUAAUUUAAUAGCCGACUUUUUGAUCCCGAAUUUUUAAUUGGUGAACGUAUAAUAUCCGUAUAAAUCACGUAUCCGAAUAAUUGGCGAAUCCGUUUUUUAGCCGUUGUUUUUAACGAAUUUAAAAAUUAGAAGGCGAAUUUUAUCCGAAUUAUAUCCGUACCGAAUUUUUGCCGAAUCGGAAUUAACUAACUAUGGCUACGAGGGACUCUUUAUAGAACAAUAUAAAACAUGAGGUGCUAAAGUGAUAACAAAUGGUAAAAUUCACCCCUCCUCUUCAUCCCUAAACUUCUGCCACCCCGUUCCAUCUCGUCGCCAUUAGAACUUCAUCCCAAGUGAGGUAAACCCUUCUCUCUCUCUCUCUCUCUCCCCCUAGUAAUAAAAAUGAUACGUUGAAUCUAUAUUAUCCUCUCUUCAUCUAAUUUAUCUUAUGAUUGCGGUUCCUGAAUCCUUUUCUCAUAGUGCUUCUUUUUUCCUUUUCUGUUUUGAGGGAUUUUAGGGUUAAUUUAUUGUUGUUGAUAAGAUUAUGCAAAAGAUUAUAGAUCUCAAGGGUUGUGAUCUAUGGCUAUUCCAAACAAUGGCCUUGUUCGGCAUCAUUGCCGUUUUGAUUGUGUUUUUUAACCACUAAUUCUACAUUAUUUGAUAUAUCGGGGGAAAAAGUUUCCUCUUCUUGUCAGCAUUGGCUGGCUCGCAAUGCGUCGCGGCCAUGAACUGUGGAUCAUUUUGAAUCGACUACUCAACCUUGCAAAAUUUUGAUUUUACUAUCCAACCUUUCAAUUUGUUUGAUUUGAGUCUGUCAACAGUAUUUUGAAUUCAAAAUUUAAAGUAAUUGCUUAUUUUACUGGACGUAUCGUUGAGAGAAUUGCAUGAAGUAUACUAACUGAACUUGUAUAGAUAAAUGACGCAUUCAAAUUUUGAAGUCAAAGUACCCUUGUUUGACUCAAAAUCAAACAACAAAAUCAAAUUUUGAAAGGUUGGGUAUUCAACUCAAAAUGAUCUGUAGUUUUAGAUUAGUUCUGUAUGGUUUUACCAAAAAUUUCAAAUUUUUGAAUACGAGAAUUGUGAUAAAUUCACUAUCCCCUCCUACACUAAUCCGGAUAGAAUUCUAUUUAAAGAAACAAAAAGUAACAACAACGAUGCCAAACGAGGCCUAAUAUUUGCAUUGCUUGUCAUUUAAGUUGCAAACUUGAUUAUUUUUCUACAUUAGUACCUUAUAAAUAUAUUUACUAUUUUAAUAGGUUUUGCUGUUACAAAGGCAGGACAAGCAACUAACAUCCCUCAAACAAAUAGAAUUUGGUGGUUUUAAACUUUGUAAAUGAAGCACCCGAGUCGUUGCGUAUGCACAAUCUAUUUAGCAUUGAAAUUUUAAAUUUAUAGAUGUGCAGAUCUCUAUAAACAAAUACUUACUGGAGGAUUUUUUUGUUUCUGAGGAAAGAAAUGAUUUGGGAAUAAAAUGUCAUGGGCUUAAUGCUAAACUUGAACAUAAUAGCUUUGAUUGAGGGAGUGUUUGGUUACCUAAAAAGUAUUUUCCGUUUGUUUGGUUCCCAGGAAAAGUAGUUUUCCUAGAAAACUUUUUUCUAAAUUUCAUGAAAGAGUCUCCUUUCUAUUCUUUGGAUUUUUAAUCCGGAAAACAAAAACUAUGGAAAGAGUGUUUUCCAUGGAAAUUUUUUAUCUCAGAAAAUAGUUUUCCACACUCUUCUGAGGAAUCAAACACCCCUUUAAUUCACGUAAAUGAUAGCGUAAAUCGUCUAUUUUGGUAGCAAGAGAAAGCUUGUAGUUCUCACAAAGAACGUGAGAUCGAGAAAGCAAUGCAUGUGUACUUUUGGCCUAUUAUUUUAAAGGUGAGUCUCCUGGUAGUUUAGCUUUAUAAUUGAAUAUGAAAUGUUGCUUCGAAACAAAUUUGCCAAGUUUCAAAGCAGUCCCUAAUUUGGAGGGACCACUGAAUGAAUUUGAUGGUCAACCAAACAAAUUUUACAAAUCAACUAUAGAAGACUUCACCAAGUACUAUUGUGCUUUACUCAUAAGAAAUUUGGACCAAGCAUAUUUUGAUGCAGCUUAAGAAAGAUUCUUAUCUUUCUUUUUUAUUUCUUUUAAUUAGUUUAACUUUUAGUUGUCUAUCAGGAUUUCUUCCGGAUUAAUUUUUUCUUGUAGUUGUUGGUUUUAGUUUUAUAUAUUUGGGUGUUUUUUGCCCCAGUGAUGUUACAAUGGUUGAACACCACUAAAUUUCAAGUAGUUUGAGAAUUUAAUUCUGUUCCAGUUUAAUCUACGGCCCUUCAUUGCAUAUCCAAUUUCUUAUUUGGGUUUUGAUUCUUUUUUGGAUCUUUUAUUUUGCCCUUCCUGCUGUAGUCGACUUUUGAUUCAUGUUUUUUGUAGCUGGCUACCCCAUUUCCUGCUCUUAUUGGGAUUCCUUCCUCUUGUUGGAUAUAACUGCAUGCCUUUUGGACACUAUUCAUUAUGCAGUGGCUAUUUUUUCAAAAAUAAGGUAAAACAAUAUGGAGACCAAUCAGGCCUCAACCAUAGGCCAUUUUGAAAUAGGCCUCUAGACCCUUUUCUUUUAUUCACACCUCAUCAAUUUACAUUUGUUUAAGUUAUUUUAGUCGAGUUUCACGUCUCUAUCUACUUUUAGCUGAAGGAAGUGUGGAUUUUCUUAAUGAUUAAUGACCAAUAACUAAUAACUAAUAUGUUAGGGUUUGUUUAUACCCUAACACGUGUCGCGAUUCUUCGAGGGAUCACGAUGAUUCCUAUGAUUAUAUUCCGAUUACUCCUAUGCCUACUUUACCAUUGGCAAACUGCUAGCACAUUAUUAAUGCUCAAGACCAUAUUACAACGAACAGAGAUGCCUCAUUUUUCUAGGCCUAUAAUUAUACGGUAGUCCUAAUAUGAUUAGGAAAUCAACGAUUAAAGAUCUUCCUAAUCGAAUAAGUUAUUUUAAAUAUAAUAAUUAUCGCUAAUCUCAUAAAUAGAAUAAUCCUAAUCCAGUAAGGAAAAUAUUAGAUAUGCAAGAUGGGUUUGGAUUCAUGAUUAUAACAUAAUCAUUUCAUGGAAAUCCCAAAUUCUACAAAUCAAUAGAAAUGAAAGUUAGUGUGUCAAUAAAAGAAUUUGAAGUUGGGAAGUCUAUUUAAAACCGCUUUGAGUUGCCAUUUAUCUGAUUUUGAAAGUUUG
rnacentral:lncRNA from 1 species